rnacentral:rRNA from 1 species
UUAUCUCUGUAGAGUCUGCAUAUCAAUAAGCGGAGGAAAAGAAACUAACAAGGAUUCCCUUAGUAACGGCGAGUGAAGCGGGAAGAGCUCAAAUUUGAAAUCUUCAAGGUUUUACCUUGACGAAUUGUAGUUUAAAGAAGCGUUUUCUGUUGAAGUUUUGGUAAAAGUUCUUUGGAAUAGGACAUCAUAGAGGGUGAGAAUCCCGUAUUUGACCAUUAUUUUCAGCUGUGUGAUACACUUUCAAAGAGUCGGAUUGUUUGGGAAUGCAGUCCAAAAUGGGUGGCAAAUUUCAUCUAAAGCUAAAUAUUGGCGAGAGACCGAUAGCGAACAAGUACCGUGAGGGAAAGAUGAAAAGAACUUUGAAAAGAGAGUUAAACAGUACGUGAAAUUGUCAAAAGGGAAGCGUUUGACACCAGUGUUGUUUUCUCGAAAAUCAAUUAAAAAAGGCCGGAUUUUGUGUUGUAUUGACCUUAAAAGCUUUCUUCACUCUUUUCUUGUCUUUUUUAAUGCACUUUUCGUUUAACAAGUCAACAUCAGUUUCUUUUGUUGUAAAAGGGUCAUUGGAAGGUGGCUUUCUUUUCGGAGAAAGUGUUUAUAGCCUUUGAUCUCUGCAACCGGAGAGACUGAGGUCUGCAGCGUAGACUCUUCGGGGUUAGAUACAUUUGUGCUAAGCUAUAGCUUUUUAUAGACAACUUGUUGACUAUAUUUAGUCUUGUGGCUUACUUGCUUAUGCUAUUUUACCUACGCUUAGGAUGUUGAGUAGCGACAUACGCAC